rnacentral:tRNA from 1 species
CCAUCGGUGGUUCAGUGGUAGAAUGCUCGCCUGCCACGCUGGCGGCCCGGGUUCGAUUCCCGUCCGAUGCA